rnacentral:RNase_P_RNA from 1 species
CAAGGGUGAAAAGGUGUGGUAAGAGCACACCGGGUUUUUGGUAACAAAAACCGCAUGGAAAACCCCACUGGGAGCAAGACCAAAUAGAAACAACAUGAUUUAAAUUUAUUUAAAUCUAGCCUAAUCUUGGGUGAGUUGUUUGGGUUGGUUGCUCGAGUCUAUUGGUGACAAUAGACCUAGAUAAAUUACCGUUUUCAAUGACAGAACCCAGCUUACAGACUAACUGGCAAU